rnacentral:rRNA from 1 species
CGUACACUCCUGCGGGAGGCAGCAGUAGGGAAUCUUCCACAAUGGGUGCAAACCUGAUGGAGCAAUGCCGCGUGAGUGAAGAAGGUCUUCGGAUCGUAAAGCUCUGUUGUUAGAGAAGAACACGUGCUAGGUAACUACUAGCGCCUUGACGGUAUCUAACCAGAAAGUCACGGCUAACUACGUGCCAGCAGCCGCGGUAAUACGUAGGUGACAAGCGUUGUCCGGAUUUAUUGGGCGUAAAGGGAGCGCAGGCGGUCUGUUUAGUCUAAUGUGAAAGCCCACGGCUUAACCGUGGAACGGCAUUGGAAACUGACAGACUUGAAUGUAGAAGAGGAAAAUGGAAUUCCAAGUGUAGCGGUGGAAUGCGUAGAUAUGUGGAGGAACACCAGUGGCGAAGGCGAUUUUCUGGGCUAACAUUGACGCUGAGGCUCGAAAGCGUGGGGAGCGAACAGGAUUAGAAACCCCAGUAGUCCCAUGA